AGUCUCGUUUGUUAGCCAAGAAUGACUUGCCUGCUUCGUGCAAGAGGCUUCAAUUAUGAUCGCCAUUCCCAUCGAUUGAUGCACACAAUUGCAUGGUCACCAGGCAGGUCAUCCUGGCUUAUCUAAUGUGCUCU
rnacentral:pre_miRNA from 1 species